CCUACGGGGGGCAGCAGUCGAGAAUCAUUCACAAUGGGGGAAACCCUGAUGGUGCGACGCCGCGUGGGGGAAUGAAGGUCUUCGGAUUGUAAACCCCUGUCAUGUGGGAGCAAAUUAAAAAGAUCGUACCACAAUAGGAAGAGACGGCUAACUCUGUGCCAGCAGCCGCGGUAAUACAGAGGUCUCAAGCGUUGUUCGGAAUCACUGGGCGUAAAGCGUGCGUAGGCUGUUUCGUAAGUCGUGUGUGAAAGGCGCGGGCUCAACCCGCGGACGGCACAUGAUACUGCGAGACUAGAGUAAGGGAGGGGGAACCGGAAUUCUCGGUGUAGCAGUGAAAUGCGUAGAUAUCGAGAGGAACACUCGUGGCGAAGGCGGGUUCCUGGACAUUAACUGACGCUGAGGCACGAAGGCCAGGGGAGCGAAAGGGAUUAGAUACCCGAGUAGUC
rnacentral:rRNA from 1 species